CCUACGGGGGGCAGCAGUGGGGAAUAUUGGACAAUGGGCGAAAGCCUGAUCCAGCCAUGCCGCGUGUGUGAAGAAGGCCUUCGGGUUGUAAAGCACUUUCAGUGGGGAAGAAAGCCUUGGGGCUAAUACCCUCGAGGAAGGACAUCACCCACAGAAGAAGCACCGGCUAACUCCGUGCCAGCAGCCGCGGUAAUACGGAGGGUGCGAGCGUUAAUCGGAAUUACUGGGCGUAAAGCGCGCGUAGGCGGUCUGAUAAGCCGGUUGUGAAAGCCCCGGGCUCAACCUGGGAACUGCAUCCGGAACUGUCAGGCUAGAGUGCAGGAGAGGAAGGUAGAAUUCCCGGUGUAGCGGUGAAAUGCGUAGAGAUCGGGAGGAAUACCAGUGGCGAAGGCGGCCUUCUGGACUGACACUGACGCUGAGGUGCGAAAGCGUGGGUAGCAAACAGGAUUAGAUACCCCUGUAGUC
rnacentral:rRNA from 1 species